AUCCCAUGAUGUGGACACUUUCGUAGCAUAUUCUUGAACCUAUUCCAGGCUUCAUCAAAAUUCUCUGAGUCACCUUGGUGGAAGGCAGAAAUGUUGUGCUUGAGCUU
rnacentral:snoRNA from 1 species